AGAGUUUGGAUCCUGGCUCAGAUUGAACGCUGGCGGCAUGCUUUACACAUGCAAGUCGAACGGCAGCACGGGGGCAACCCUGGUGGCGAGUGGCGAACGGGUGAGGAAUGCACCGGAACGUAUCUUCAAGUGGGGGAUAACGCAUCGAAAGGUGUGCUAAUACCGCAUAAUCUCUGAGGAGAAAAGCAGGGGAUCGCAAGACCUUGCGCUUUUGGAGCGGCCGAUGCCUGAUUAGCUUGUUGGUGAGGUAAAAGCUCACCAAGGCUCCGAUCAGUAGCUGGUCUGAGAGGACGACCAGCCACACUGGGACUGAGACACGGCCCAGACUCCUACGGGAGGCAGCAGUGGGGAAUUUUGGACAAUGGGGGCAACCCUGAUCCAGCCAUGCCGCGUGAGUGAAGAAGGCCUUCGGGUUGUAAAGCUCUUUCAGCCGGAACGAAACGGUCACGGUCAAUACCCGUGACUACUGACGGUACCGGAAGAAGAAGCACCGGCUAACUACGUGCCAGCAGCCGCGGUAAUACGUAGGGUGCGAGCGUUAAUCGGAAUUACUGGGCGUAAAGCGUGCGCAGGCGGUUUUGUAAGUCAGAUGUGAAAUCCCCGGGCUUAACCUGGGAACUGCGUUUGAAACUGCAAGGCUAGAGUGUGGCAGAGGGGGGUGGAAUUCCGCGUGUAGCAGUGAAAUGCGUAGAGAUGUGG
rnacentral:rRNA from 1 species